AUUGAACGCUGGCGGCAUGCUUUACACAUGCAAGUCGAACGGCAGCACGGGCUUCGGCCUGGUGGCGAGUGGCGAACGGGUGAGUAAUAUAUCGGAACGUACCCAAGAGUGGGGGAUAACGUAGCGAAAGUUACGCUAAUACCGCAUACGAUCUAAGGAUGAAAGUGGGGGAUCGCAAGACCUCAUGCUCCUGGAGCGGCCGAUAUCUGAUUAGCUAGUUGGUGAGGUAAAGGCUCACCAAGGCGACGAUCAGUAGCUGGUCUGAGAGGACGACCAGCCACACUGGAACUGAGACACGGUCCAGACUCCUACGGGAGGCAGCAGUGGGGAAUUUUGGACAAUGGGCGCAAGCCUGAUCCAGCAAUGCCGCGUGAGUGAAGAAGGCCUUCGGGUUGUAAAGCUCUUUUGUCAGGGAAGAAACGGUAGGGGCUAAUAUCUCUUGCUAAUGACGGUACCUGAAGAAUAAGCACCGGCUAACUACGUGCCAGCAGCCGCUGUAAAAC
rnacentral:rRNA from 1 species